rnacentral:misc_RNA from 1 species
CUUUCAUUUUUGCGGUUAUAACCUGAGACAGAAUCGCAUGUACUAUAGGGGGUAUACCCCAAAAACGACCCAAAAAGUCGAUUUUGUGAAAUGGUGCGUUUGGGCCUUAGGACACAUUGUCCGGCCUGUAGCACCCGUAUUUCGCAAUAUUUAAUGCAUUUUGGCCCGGUAAAGCCCAGAAUUUGGAGCAUAGGAGGUAAUGAAGUCGGCGGUCAGGACGGUCCUUGUGGCCUAUACUGAUGCGGUCGGCCUUAGCCUAUGGCUCGAUUGGGUGAUUUGGCCUCUCGGGAUCUGGUUGCUUGACCAUAUGGCUGCGCGUUCAGUCAGGUUGGGUUGCUGGGUUCCAGUUUAUUGGGUGUCGGGUGGCAUUUGUCAUUCUGCAUUCAGGCUGUGCGGUCUAUGGUAGCUCGAGGGCUGGCUCCGGCUGGUCAUUGGGUUGCUGUGUGAACGUGUAGCUUUUCCUAUGUUAAGCCGACUGGCUUGUUCUGACCGCUGGGCGUGUCAUUCGUGGCUCGUCUAAGCUGUGCCUAUACGAUAUACGUUAUAUAUACCCGGCGCGAGCAUGUGCCCCACUGCGCCAUUGUUGCUGCUCCACACGGGAAGGUGCUAGACCGUGUGGUUGCAAAUGCUUAGUUUACUCUACAGUUCGCACGGGGCGGGUACCACUGUGUGGACAAGGUUAUCAAAUGUUUCGCUUCCGCUUACCCAGUGGUUGCGCGUACGCUCCCGAUCCCUCGGGGUUGGGUUGCUUGAAAGAGUGAAUA